CAUCGCCAAUUUCACACAUUAUCAACAGCAAAAGGUUGUAUAACUGACUGGUCUCAUGGAGAACUGACUUCUGCGCUGAUGACUAGGAAAAAUUUCAAAGACAUUUUAGGAAUAGGGUUUAAAGUCUUUCUAUUAACAGCAAUACUUUUAUGGAGAAUGUUUUCCUCCCUCAAUAAUAGAAAUACAAGCUCAGGAAAUGCACUGAUGUUGGUACUAUCUUUAUUAAGAUCAUACAGUUAGUCAAAGAUCUUUUCAAAGCAUUAUGAAAACCUAGAUCUGUUUUUUUUAAUUGGCUAUCCAGAUGAUAUCUGUAGUUCUAAUGCUGGUGUCAAUGACUUUACUACUCAAAGAGGUGUGACUUAUAGGCAAGACACUCAGCAAAGCAUUGCUAAUGGGCAAAAUAUUGGAACGCUAAUAAUGUGGCAGUCCUGGGGCCUCCUGGGGAUCACCAGCAGCAGAGGGGCUGGCCUGGGAGGCAGCUGUAAGGCACAG
rnacentral:lncRNA from 1 species